rnacentral:rRNA from 1 species
CGGGUCUUGACAUCGGAUGCAUAACUAAGAGAUUAGUGAAGUCCUUCGGGACAUCCAGACAGGUGGUGCAUGGUUGUCGUCAGCUCGUGUCGUGAGAUGUUGGGUUAAGUCCCGCAACGAGCGCAACCCUUAUAAUUAGUUGCUACGCAAGAGCACUCUAAUUAGACUGCCGUUGACAAAACGGAGGAAGGUGGGGAUGACGUCAAAUCAUCAUGCCCUUUAUGACCCGGGCUACACACGUACUACAAUGGUGUUUAACAAAGAGAAGCAAAGCCGCGAGGUAGAGCAAAUCUCAAAAAAACAUCUCAGUUCAGACUGCAGGCUGCAACUCGCCUGCACGAAGUCGGAAUUACUAGUAAUCGUAGGUCAGCAUACUACGGUGAAUACGUUCCC